AGAGCGAACGCUGGCGGCGUGCUUAACACAUGCAAGUCGAACGCGCAGCAGUUUGUAGCAAUACAGAUUGUGGGCGCGUGGCGAACGGGUGCGUAACACGUGGAUAACCUUCCUUCAGGUGGGGAAUAACCCAGUGAAAAUUGGGCUAAUACCGCAUAACAUGACGAUGGCUCAUGCCGUUGUCUUCAAAGGCGCAAGUCGCCAGAAGAGGGAUCCGCGGCCGAUUAGCUAGUUGGCGAGGUAAUGGCUCACCAAGGCAUUGAUCGGUA
rnacentral:rRNA from 1 species